rnacentral:rRNA from 1 species
GUUAUAUGGUCAAGUGAAGAAGCGCAUACGGUGGAUGCCUUGGCAGUCAGAGGCGAUGAAAGACGUGGUAGCCUGCGAAAAGCUUCGGGGAGUCGGCAAACAGACUGUGAUCCGGAGAUGUCUGAAUGGGGGAACCCAGCCAUCAUAAGAUGGUUAUCUUGUACUGAAUACAUAGGUGCAAGAGGCGAACCAGGGGAACUGAAACAUCUAAGUACCCUGAGGAAAAGAAAUCAACCGAGAUUCCCUUAGUAGUGGCGAGCGAACGGGGACCAGCCCUUAAGUUGUAUUGAGAUUAGCGGAACACUCUGGAAAGGGUGGCCAUAGUGGGUGAUAGCCCUGUACGCGAAAAUCCCUUUGCAAUGAAAUCGAGUAGGACGGGGCACGAGAAACCUUGUCUGAAUAUGGGGGGACCAUCCUCCAAGGCUAAAUACUACUGACUGACCGAUAGUGAACCAGUACCGUGAGGGAAAGGCGAAAAGAACCGCGGAGAGCGGAGUGAAAUAGAUCCUGAAACCGUAUGCGUACAAGCAGUGGGAGCCCACUUUGUUGGGUGACUGCGUACCUUUUGUAUAAUGGGUCAGCGACUUAUUUUCAGUGGCGAGCUUAACCGAAUAGGGGAGGCGUAGCGAAAGCGAGUCUUAAUAGGGCGUCUAGUCGCUGGGAAUAGACCCGAAACCGGGCGAUCUAUCCAUGGGCAGGUUGAAGGUUGGGUAACACUAACUGGAGGACCGAACCGACUACCGUUGAAAAGUUAGCGGAUGACCUGUGGAUCGGAGUGAAAGGCUAAUCAAGCUCGGAGAUAGCUGGUUCUCCUCGAAAGCUAUUUAGGUAGCGCCUCAUGUAUCACUGUAGGGGGUAGAGCACUGUUUCGGCUAGGGGGUCAUCCCGACUUACCAAACCGAUGCAAACUCCGAAUACCUACAAGUGCCGAGCAUGGGAGACACACGGCGGGUGCUAACGUCCGUCGUGAAAAGGGAAACAACCCAGACCGUCAGCUAAGGUCCCAAAGUCAUGGUUAAGUGGGAAACGAUGUGGGAAGGCUUAGACAGCUAGGAGGUUGGCUUAGAAGCAGCCACCCUUUAAAGAAAGCGUAAUAGCUCACUAGUCGAGUCGGCCUGCGCGGAAGAUGUAACGGGGCUCAAACCAUGCACCGAAGCUACGGGUAUCAUCUUUUGAUGAUGCGGUAGAGGAGCGUUCUGUAAGCCUGUGAAGGUGAGUUGAGAAGCUUGCUGGAGGUAUCAGAAGUGCGAAUGCUGACAUGAGUAACGACAAUGGGUGUGAAAAACACCCACGCCGAAAGACCAAGGUUUCCUGCGCAACGUUAAUCGACGCAGGGUUAGUCGGUCCCUAAGGCGAGGCUGAAAAGCGUAGUCGAUGGAAAACAGGUUAAUAUUCCUGUACUUCUGGUUAUUGCGAUGGAGGGACGGAGAAGGCUAGGCCAGCCUGGCGUUGGUUGUCCAGGUUUAAGGUGGUAGGCUGAGAUCUUAGGUAAAUCCGGGAUCUUAAGGCCGAGAGCUGAUGACGAGUGUUCUUUUAGAACACGAAGUGGUUGAUGCCAUGCUUCCAAGAAAAGCUUCUAAGCUUCAGGUAACCAGGAACCGUACCCCAAACCGACACAGGUGGUUGGGUAGAGAAUACCAAGGCGCUUGAGAGAACUCGGGUGAAGGAACUAGGCAAAAUGGCACCGUAACUUCGGGAGAAGGUGCGCCGGUGGAGGUGAAGCAUUUACUGCGUAAGCCCCUGCCGGUCGAAGAUACCAGGCCGCUGCGACUGUUUAUUAAAAACACAGCACUCUGCAAACACGAAAGUGGACGUAUAGGGUGUGACGCCUGCCCGGUGCCGGAAGGUUAAUUGAUGGGGUUAGCGCAAGCGAAGCUCUUGAUCGAAGCCCCGGUAAACGGCGGCCGUAACUAUAACGGUCCUAAGGUAGCGAAAUUCCUUGUCGGGUAAGUUCCGACCUGCACGAAUGGCGUAACGAUGGCGGCGCUGUCUCCACCCGAGACUCAGUGAAAUUGAAAUCGCUGUGAAGAUGCAGUGUAUCCGCGGCUAGACGGAAAGACCCCGUGAACCUUUACUAUAGCUUUGCACUGGACUUUGAAUUUGCUUGUGUAGGAUAGGUGGGAGGCUUUGAAGCGUGGACGCCAGUCUGCGUGGAGCCAACCUUGAAAUACCACCCUGGCAACUUUGAGGUUCUAACUCAGGUCCGUUAUCCGGAUCGAGGACAGUGUAUGGUGGGUAGUUUGACUGGGGCGGUCUCCUCCUAAAGAGUAACGGAGGAGUACGAAGGUGCGCUCAGACCGGUCGGAAAUCGGUCGUAGAGUAUAAAGGCAAAAGCGCGCUUGACUGCGAGACAGACACGUCGAGCAGGUACGAAAGUAGGUCUUAGUGAUCCGGUGGUUCUGUAUGGAAGGGCCAUCGCUCAACGGAUAAAAGGUACUCCGGGGAUAACAGGCUGAUACCGCCCAAGAGUUCAUAUCGACGGCGGUGUUUGGCACCUCGAUGUCGGCUCAUCACAUCCUGGGGCUGAAGCCGGUCCCAAGGGUAUGGCUGUUCGCCAUUUAAAGUGGUACGCGAGCUGGGUUUAGAACGUCGUGAGACAGUUCGGUCCCUAUCUGCCGUGGACGUUUGAGAUUUGAGAGGGGCUGCUCCUAGUACGAGAGGACCGGAGUGGACGAACCUCUGGUGUUCCGGUUGUCACGCCAGUGGCAUUGCCGGGUAGCUAUGUUCGGAAAAGAUAACCGCUGAAAGCAUCUAAGCGGGAAACUUGCCUCAAGAUGAGAUCUCACUGGAACCUUGAGUUCCCUAAAGG